rnacentral:rRNA from 1 species
GCCGUCCCAGUUCGGAUCGCAGGCUGCAACCCGCCUGCGUGAAGUUGGAAUCGCUAGUAAUCGCGGAUCAGCAUGCCGCGGUGAAUACGUUCCCGGGCCUUAUACACACCGCCCGUCACACCAUGAGAGUCGGGAACACCCGAAGUCCGUAGCCUAACCGCGAAGGGGGCGCGGCCGAAGGUGGGUUCGAUAAUUGGGGUGAAGUCGUAACAAGGUACC